UGUGGCUCUUUCGGGACUGCCCUUCUCUGAAGGAAGUAGGCCCAUAGCCUUACCACCUCCUCAGUCUUAAGUCCCCUGAAAUGCAGCCAUCAGCUCGGCUCUGAUUCUUCCCAUUCCAGGGACGAUCUCUCUCCUCUUGAAGAUUGCUUCUUUGAGUGAAUGGGUAGACAUUGCUCUGCCACACACUCCAGGCCUACCAUCUCUGUCAGGAUCUAGCCUUCAAAGGUGAGCAGAUUUCCUGCCUCCUCCAGGAUCCCUACCCCUCAGACUGGGUUUGCUCCCUCCUGCCCUGAACGCUUCCCAUUGGGCUAGCUUCCCAGACAGCUUAGGCAGGACUUCCUCUUCUGACCCCACAGGACUUCUGACCCCUACACACCCAGCUUGAUCUCCUGCCCACAGCCACUGUUUGACCUAAAUUCACUCUAGACUUGGAGAACUGCAGCAGAAGGCAUCAGAAUAGGGGAUCAGCAAAGAGUAUGGCGACAUUCGAGCAGUGUCUGUUUGCCCAGGAAGUAGCAGACUUUCAGAAUAAGAUUAGGGAUAGAGCCUGCUGAUCUCAGUGCAAGUUUCACAAAAGACAUGCCUUCACCUUCAUACAACUUAAUCCUCCGGACAUGCAUGCAUCUGCACGGAGAGAAGUGGAGAAGAAUGAUAAAGGUCAUUGAAUCAAAAGGGAAGAUGUGCGUCCUGUGCCAUUUUAAUUUGUUAAUAUGGUGGAUUAUAUUUGUUGAUUUUGGUACACCGAACUAUUUCUGCAUCUCCAGGAUGAAGUCUACUAGGUCUUUUGGAUUCAGUUUAGCCUUGGCCCAGACUGUCUCUGCAGAGCAUCUGUGAAGACUUGGCCCUGAUUGCUCCUGGAGACAGCCUUGUUCUACCUACACCUGGAGGAAUCCCAGAAACCGAUCAGUGUCCACUAGAGGUAUGGACUUCCUACACCUUGAGGAAGAGCUACCACCUAAGCCACAGGACCCACCUGCACCAAUUGGAGGAAGAGGUGGGCAGACGGCAGUGUAAGAACACAUUCAACAUCAUAAAGAGCAAUAUGGAACCACCAGAACCUAGAGGUCCUUCAACAGAAACACCUGAACAUCCUAAUCCAGAAGAAUCAGAAGACAAUGACCUUAACUAUAACUUUAUGAAGAUGAUAGAGAUCCUUA